GAAAAGAGAGUGCAAGAGAACGUGAAACCGUUAUAGUGGAARCAGAUGGAGCCGACGUAUCCAGYGCGUAUUUAGCCAUUGUCGAGCGUGAUUCGCCUGUUUGGAGUUCUGCAGAAGUCUUCGGCGGGCGAUUGUUGCGUGCGGCGAGUGGUGCACUUGCGUGCAGAGUGCGCCGAAUCAGUGGGGCUUGCUGCUCGAAGUUCGGCUUGAGAGGACCGAGUUCAUUGAAAUCGGAAACCUCGACGAGCGGGUGGCAGUUGAGUCCGACUGUGAUGCCUAAAAUCUGUUGGUUCUGGGGCAAUUGGGCGAGUGGCGUUGCUGCUCGAAUGGGACGCAUGCGUCACUUUGGGCGGUGCGUUAUUUGUGUGCUUGUCUCCUAGCAGGUAUUCGGUGUGUGGUCGGUAACCCAUUUGACCCGUCUUGAAACACGGACCAAGGAGUUUAAGGUGUGCGCGAGUGAUUGGGUGUCGAAAACUCAGAAGCGUAAUGAAAGUGGGACACUUGGUGUCUGUGAUGUGACCCGACCGAGCUUGAUUGUUCGGAGGGGGCAGCAUCGACCCAUGACUAGAACAUGUUCUGUUGUGGAGUCUGAGCGCACGCUUUGAGACCCGAAAGAUGGUGAACUAUGCCCGAACAGGACGAAGUCAGAGGAAACUCUGAUGGAAGUCCGAAGCGGUUCUGACGUGCAAAUCGAUCGUCUGAUUUGGGUAUAGGGGCGCAAGACUAAUCGAACCAUC
rnacentral:rRNA from 1 species